GGGGCCGUAGCUCAAUGGUCAGAGCAAGGGACUCAUAAUCCUCAGGUUGCGGGUUCGAUCCCCGCCGGCCCCA
rnacentral:tRNA from 1 species